CAAAAGGCCCUUUUCAGGGCCACCCACCUUUUCCGGAAAAGAGCCA
rnacentral:ncRNA from 1 species